UUGACGGGUGGCUGUACCAUUUUUACACACGGUCAAAGCGGUGAGCCGCUUAACCAUCGGUUCUCGAUUCCCCACCCCUCCCAUCUCUUCUCUCUGUCCGGGCAUGCUCCUCUCGGCCUCUUCCAAAUAGCCACAUCCAGAGCCGCCGCCGUCGGCUCAGUCAUCGGGGCAACUAACGCUGAUCUAGCUGCCGCAGGACAUCGGGAGGGAGGUGGGUGGCGGCGCCGUCGUCGGCAUGGACGCGCAGCUUUCCUGCUCUUUUCUCUAGGUUGUGGCUAUCUUGCUCCACUCCGUUGAGUACGACGCCGCCUUUGUCGGGAGGGCGUCGCGGCGGAUGUGUGCGCGGCCCCCCACGGCGGCUGGCGCUGAACGGGUGAGCCGGGCGUUCUCGCCGCUGGAGGCGUUCGUGAUCCGACGGCCGACAGCUUUGGGGGAUCGAUAAGGUGGAGAUGGAGUCCUCACACCAGAGGAGGAGGGGCUGCUGGGAGGAAAUCGCCUCCACAAUCCCCGUCAGGCUCCACCGAUCCAGCUACCUUGAACCGCGCCUGCCUUGAAUGCCUCAUCCAAGCUCACCUUCGGUGAUGAGCCCAGCACCGCUGCCGCUUCACCGGGCCUCGCCCAUGCUGACGCACACGCCCGUCAUCCCACGCCCCUCGCCGUCACAGCUCUUUCCAUCUGUAGCGAGGCGAAUCUGCUCUUUCCAAAGAACCUGCAAUUUCGAGUUCUGUACCAUCUUGUGAAGGCCCCUGUCUACACCUACAUGCACUGCAAUCUGAAGCGACGCGGUCCUUCUCUUUCCAAGGAGCUUUUCUUCUCUCACGAAAAAACAAAGGGUAAUUAGAGGCAUCAGUCAGCAGUCUCAAUAGAUGCUGAAAUUAUGCAUCUGGUGCGAUCUAAUAGAUUCUAAAAGAAAUCAAUCACCUUCCCGCAAGAUCCCAUGAGAAUCACCAACACAUCACUACAUAGAUCACAACAUCCCUUGGCUUGAGCUUCUUCUCCAAAUGCAAUUUGCAGGAAUCUGCAAGGUCUUCAACACAGUAGAGGGAAUCCACCACCAGGGUGAAUGGUGGUCCUCUCUCUCUAGCUCUCUCCAAAUGCCUCUUCUAUCUUUUUUUUAGCAAAGAUCCAGAUUCCCUCUUCUAUUUCCAUGUCUUGACAAGUUUGAAUUUCUCCAAUAAGAACAAGAACAUAAUAGGUUUUUAUAACAUAUUUUCAGUGGUUGUGCUCUUGCUGAUGUUUGUUUUUAAUCAAAUGCUUGCAAAUUAGUUGGGAAUUUCCUUGGACCGUUACUUUCUAUAUACCUACAAGUUUGUGUUUGAGUAGCAUUUUCGGAAAAUAUUGUGGACAGGCAAAGUAAGGUAAACGGCCGCACAUCAAAGACCAAACUGUAAUUAUAAAGAGCGUUUUGUCCAAUAAGACUGAAAAGAGAAGAGGAAAUUUCCUAUGUACUUUUAGUUUGGUACAACACCAUAGAUGGAGUAAUGAUUAACAAAACUUUCUUAACUUAAUCAUCUCCCCUGUCUUUGACAACGAAUGGUUGUGCUCAAAGUCCAUGUGCUAGCAACAUAUAUGGCUGCGAUUUUUCAGAAGAUAUAUGACUUUCGAGCAACAUACAAUUUUAUGUCGUAAUGCAGUUUCUGACAUGGUCACAUCCCACUUUGGUAUUAUAAGUGUGCAUAAGGUUUCGAUGUUGUGCAUAGAUUUUUUUUAUUAUAGUACUAUGUGAUUUAGAGUUUUCUCUUUCAACCACAAUAAGAAGGUACAAAUGAGGCAACUAAAUGGGUCAAAUGGGUGCGGUUCUGCACAAUAGAUAUCACCCUCUCUCUCUCUCUCUCUCUCUCUCUCUCUCUCUCUCUCUCUCCUUUUACCUUUUGUUUUUUGCUUUCAUAUGAUUUUUUGCCAAGUACUUAUCCUUGAGUUUAUUCAGUUCCGUUGAUUGAGAGAUGUCUCCUCGACCUUGGUGAUAUCAUUAUCUUCAAAUUGUUUAUCUCUACAUGUAGGUGUUGGAGCUCAUGCGGCAAUAUAUUAAGGAUGAAAUGAGGCCAUGCAGAGUCAUUUUUCUGACAUGUAUCAUUGUGGUUCUUGUUUUCUAUAUGUACCUGUGAAAGGUAUUUCCUUCUCUUGAUUGGUACAGUUAAGUGGUUUAUAUGAAAUAUAUAGCUGAAUGAUAUUUAGUCAGUGUCUUCUGUACAGAAACAUAGUAAACAACAUCAGGCACUGAAUCUUAUGUCCUCUGUUUUCUAGCAUGUCAGCUCUUUUAUUGGACCAAUUAGUGUGAACUUAACUAAGGGGAAAGUCGCAGAUCUGCAGGGACCAUUCGAGGGUGUUUGCCAUUUCUUUUAUACAUUUUCUCACUUAGUUCUUCAUUGCUCUCAUAGAACUUGAUUUAAAGUUUUUGGCUGAAGCCGGUUCCACAACUUGAUUCAAAGGCCGUAAAAGGUGUCAAAGGCUGCCCGCAUGAUGUUGAUUCUGGAAAUUGCUAAGCUCACAAAACAAUCCAUGGAGCCUCGGCAGGGAAAACAUACAGUACAUGCUACAUAUAAUUUCACCUUCUUGGGCAUAGGGAAACAAUGGAAGAGUAUACCAAGAAACCACUUCUCAAUUGAGAGAACAAUUAAAACAAUGAUGAAUCUAUACAUUUGAAAUUUCAUGGUACUGGAGGGCCCUGCCAUUCCUGCGCUUGAUUGUUCUUCUGCUUGUGUGGGCACUUUUGGCUGGAUCGCUAAAUUAUUACAAAAAGUUGCUUAACAUGGUGGCAUUCUUCCUUGGUAAUAUUGCGCCCGUAAAUCUGAUACCUACUAUUCAUACAUGAUCAUGUACAAACUAUUAUCUGUUUUUCUUAAGUGAUUGAUUGGUUGUGGAGAAUUAGAACUGUUAAAAGAGGAUGCCUGACUACAACUCAGUUAGAUGGGAGUCUCUGAAAUUGUUCAUUUUGAGUUAUAUGAUCUGCCCGCAAUUUAAACUCAGUGCCCCUAAUUGAGCAUGUACCAAGUUCUUUUGCUUUGGUCAAGACGAGUGACAAUGAUUCAGAUCUGGUCUAUGCAUUACUACAAGUUAAGAUGGCACGGCAACGUCUCCACUCUGAGUCUUGCCUGAUCGCAAUACUAUCUAUAAGAGCGCAUACAAUGUUGAUGUAUCAUAUCUUCAAGUGAUGUUGUAAUGGAGUUCUGUGUAUUCUACGACGGCUCAAUUUGUGCUAUGCCUAUAAUCAUUCAUUUUCAUUC